CAGCAGUCGCCACGGUAAUACAGAGGGUGCAAGCGUUAAUCGGAAUUACUGGGCGUAAAGCGCGCGUAGGUGGUUUGUUAAGUUGGAUGUGAAAUCCCCGGGCUCAACCUGGGAACUGCAUCCAAAACUGGCAAGCUAGAGUAUGGUAGAGGGUGGUGGAAUUUCCUGUGUAGCGGUGAAAUGCGUAGAUAUAGGAAGGAACACCAGUGGCGAAGGCGACCACCUGGACUGAUACUGACACUGAGGUGCGAAAGCGUGGGGAGCAAACAGGAUUAGAUACCCGCGUAGUCCCUGUCUCUUAUAC
rnacentral:rRNA from 1 species